UACAGAGGUCUCAAGCGUUGUUCGGAAUCACUGGGCGUAAAGGGGGUUUAGGCGGUGUGCUAAGUCAGAUGGGAAAGCCCGGGGCUCAACCUCGGAACUGCAUCCGAUACUGGCAUGCUAGAGAAUUGGAGAGGAGUCUAGAAUUCACGGUGUAGCAGUGAAAUGCGUAGAUAUCGUGAGGAAUACCAAGUGCGAAGGCAGGACUCUGGACAUUUUCUGACGCUGAGACACGAAGGCCAGGGGAGCAAACGGG
rnacentral:rRNA from 1 species